rnacentral:rRNA from 1 species
UACGGGGGGGGCAAGCGUUGUUCGGAAUUACUGGGCGUAAAGGGCGCGUAGGCGGCCUUGUAAGUCAGAUGUGAAAUCCCUCGGCUCAACCGAGGAACUGCGUCUGAUACUGGAAGGCUUGAGUCCGGGAGAGGGAUGUGGAAUUCCAGGUGUAGCGGUGAAAUGCGUAGAUAUCUGGAGGAACACCGGUGGCGAAGGCGGCAUCCUGGACCGGUAUUGACGCUGAGGCGCGAAAGCUAGGGGAGCAAACGGG